CUGCGCCUCCCAUUCAUUAUAAUGGGAAAUGACCACAGACAAGUGCGCACACCAUCUUUGGACCUUGAGUGUGACGCGAUCGGGAGGGGGAGGUGGUCGCGCUGGGGGCGGCGCGACGCGGCUCGGGCCCGACAGUGCCCCACCGGGGCCCUAGUUCUUUCUUUCUUUUUCUUUCUUUAGGGCCCGAGCGUAGCUGCUAAGCAGCUGCGAGAGCCCUCUUGUUCCUGAUGGAUUCUUCUUUCGUUAUUUUUCCUCCGCUUUAAACUGGAAAAUGGCCCACUUCCCACUGGCGAAAACUCAGGAAAUUUGGCAGGACGACCGGGCCUGGUGAAAAAUUUGAUAUUCUGAAGUCGUCCAAACAAAAAAAUGAAAAAUGGCUCCAUAGCGCCCCCUAUGGUGAAAACUCACCUGAUGCCUGUACGCUUUGUCAAAAUGACACAAAAUUUGACACACAUGUGUAUUCUCAAUAAGAUCUACGAAAAAGUCAGUGCGGGCGUAUCUGCCAAAUGUACGGUUAAAGGGCUAUUUCGCUUUUUUUGCCGAUCCGCACACAUUGGAAUUUCGCUAACUCCUCCGAAGGCUUUCGUUCCACCGGCACCAAAUUUGCUCAGGCCAAUCUACACCCCAUGGCCAUUAAAAGUUGUACAAAUCAUGAUGCUGCACCCCACGGUUUACUUUCUAGGGGGCGCCAAAGAUAACACAAAAAUCCACAUUCUUAAAAGUCUUAUAACUUUUUAUUUUUGUCCUCACUGGCCUCCAAGUUUUCUAGGAUGAUGCAAUGUCCAGCCAUCAACACAUUUGUGAAGGAAUUUUUACUCCCCAAAAGAGCGCCCCCCCAUGGCAGGAGAAAAAAGUCCAUUUUUUCUUGUCUCCUAAGGUAAAAAUACACAUUGUUGAGUGUCACGCCUAUACACUUUGUCAUAUUGACACACAAUUUGACAAUCACGUGUAUCUCAAUAAGAUCUACAAAAAAGUCAAUAGGCACGUAUCUGUCAAAUGUAUGGUUAAAGGGCUAUUUCGCAUUUUUUGCCGAUUCGCACACAUUGGAAUGUGGCUAUCUCCUCCUAAGGCUUUCGUCCCACCGAUACCAAAUUUGCUCAGGGCAAUCUACACCCCAUGGCCAUUCAAAGUUGUAGAAAUCAUGACGCUGCACCCCACGGUUUACGUUCUAGGGGGCGCCAAAGAUGACCCAAAAAUCCACAUUCUUAAAAGUCAUUUUGGCCACUGCAGGAGUACAGAGUACUGCAGUUCUAGGGGGCGCCAAAGAUGACCCAAAAAUCCACAUUCUUAAAAGUCUUUUUGGCCACUGCAGGAGUACAGAGUACUGCCGGACACACACACAUAUACACACACGCCAACACACACACACACACACACACACACACACACACACACACACACACACUCAGAGUCUGUUUUUUAGCACCUGCAAAAACAUGCUGUUUACAUAUUUGACAAGAAUGCAGAGGCUUCCUUUUGCCCCUGAAAAAAAUCAAAUUUCAAACACAACUUGACUGUUCAUUUCUCCAAAAGACAACCAUGAAGCUCCAUCCAAACCUGAAGCAGAUAGUUGGUGCAUGUGUACAGUAACCUGAGGAGAGUGAGGUGACUACUUCUGAGGAGAACAUGAGCAGUGAAGAUUCACCUUGGAGCUAGAACAGGGACGUGCACAUGAUUAUACAGGGGCAGGGGCUCAAGUUUUUUCCAGUCAUUUAUACAAUAUGGAAAUUAAUGUGAAAUUAAACCACAAAUAUGUGUGAUGAACUGUUUUUAAAACUUAAACUUCAAAUAAAAAUUGUAAACUUUAAAACAUAUGCAAAUUUUUAACAAAGAACAUAGUAAUUUACCUCUAUUUACAUCAAAAUGCAGGCAAUGGCCCAGGCGUUCUUUGUAAAAUUAUUUACAAAACACUGUAUAGUCUCACAAAUGUCACUUUUUAUUUAUGCCACUACAAAAAAACAUGAUGUAAAUGAUGCAUGAUGUAAAACAUGAUGUAAAAAACUUGUGUAGAUCCUCCUCUAUGUCAGUCCAUGUGUAAUUUUUCCAUAAUUCUUUGUUUUUUGCAGCAUUUUUGUUAGUGUAACUGCAGAUUGUGCUGACAGUGUCUAUGGCAAAAAAAAAAAAAAAACUGAAAAUGCCUCAACAUGAACUCCUGGUGGUCUCUGAGGGUGAAACCUGCUAACUGCUGCAGCUCUCUCAGCUCUAGUCUCCCAUGCAGAGCUCGGAGCGCAUGUGUGGCUCUGCACCCUUAGCAGCGUUGCUAACUCCUCAGUAAGGAAAGCCUGCUUCAUGUCAGAGUCUCUAAACUCCAGAGGAAGUCGAUAAAAUUCCCUUUCUUUCUAAAAAAAAGUCGUUAGGGGGUCUGAAAAGUCAUUGAAUCUAACAACAAAGUCGCUAGGUUUGCAACUACGUUUCCCAGACUGCAUCCCUGCUGAGAGUUCCUCCCUCCCUUCUCAUAUUGCAGGAAGAACGUAAGCGCCCGCCCCUUGUCAAUCAGUCACCAUAUAAUUUUGGAUUGGUUGUUGUGGUGAAGUUUUCCACCAAUAGGAGAGAUGUUGUGGUGUGUUUUUUUUUUCUUUUGGCAUGCCUUUUCCGCCUGUAAGAGCUGUCGCUAAUGUCUGCAUGCUAUGUUUUCCUGUCUCAUACAGCGUGAUCGAGCGCCGAACGUGAUCAAAAUAAGCAGAAAAAAAGUAUCGCGGACAUAAUUUAUCAUAACUCUGGUUUUAUUUGGCCUAUCAACACAAUUUAAAAACUGGUAUAUAGUUUGAGGUCCUCACUUUUGAGAUAAGUUGAAACGGAGGGUGAACGAGGCUCCGUCUUGCAGCUACAUCCGGUUAAAUAUGUCAUGUGACUUGAACGCUGGGGAGCGUCAAUCGACUGCAGAGCCAGCAGACAAAGUAGUUAUGCCACUGAGAGGCACACAUUUGUCAUAUGCUAUAAUCCUAACAUAUUUUAAUGCUUUUUCUAUUUAAACCUAAUGGAUCUAAGGUUUGACCUUCAAAAUUUAGGAAGAAUAUGUUUUUGCAGUAAUGACCCCCUUAAACAACCAGAGGUCCUUUCCUAAAGUUUAUGGAAAUUUUAGUGAAGGCCUUGGUUUCUUUCCUUGCAAAAUGUAUAGAAAUAAUAAAGCUAAAUACCAUAAAAUGGUCUUGGCGUAUUAGCAGUGAUAUAAAAUAGUGGUUUGAAUAUGAAUGAACAACAAAAAAAAACAUCAACAGAGCCUUUUUGAGUUGGGAUUCUUUCAUUAUCACACAAAAACAGACAUAGACAGACAUCUAAAGGGUAAGGGAAUGAUCAGCCCUCCUAACUCUCAGAUGAAUCUUCAAAAUUCACCGCAGAAAUAUGCUUAUUAUUCUUCUCAGAGUACUGCAAGAUAUAUACAAACACACACAGACACACACACACACACACACACACACACACACACACACACACACACACACACUCAGAGUCUGUUUUUUAGCACCUGCAAAAACAUGCUAUUUACAUAUUUGACAAGAAUGCAGAGGCUCCUUUUGCCCCUGAAAAAAAUCAAAUUUCAAACACAACUUGACUGGUCAUUUCUCCAAAAGACAACCAUGAAGCUCCAUCCAAACCUGAAGCAGGCAGUUGGUGCAUGUGUACAGUAACCUGAGGGGAGUGAGGUGACUGCUUCUGAGGAGAACAUGAGCAGUGAAGAUUCACCUUGGAGCUAGAACAGGGACGUGCACAUGAUUAUACAGGGGCAGGGGCUCAAGUUUUUUCCAGUCAUUUAUACAAUAUGGAAAUUAAUGUGAAAUUAAAAAACAAAGUAUUAAUAGAAAGGUAAUGACUGUCCUGUGUAGAUGACAGUGAUAUCCAAUAGGCUAGGCACUCACGAGGCUGGCUGUGGCAAGUGUAAGUGAAAGCAACACGCACUGGCAGGAAGAACAGCAAACGCCGAUGAAGGAAAAGGGUCUUUGCAGUGAUGGGCGUUACCAGAGAGGGCGAUGGCCAGAGGACGCGAAUGGGACGGGGAGGCAGCGCGUUGGGGGGGGCGGCGCGACACGGCUCGGGCCCGCCAGUGCCCCAAUGGGGCCCUAGUUAGGGCCCGAGCGUAGCUGCUAAGCAGCUGCGAGAGCCCUAUUAUUCCUGAUGGAUUCUUCUUUCUUUAGGGCCCGAGCGUAGCUGCUAAGCAGCUGCGAGAGCCCUCUUGUUCCUGAUGGAUUCUUCUUUUGUUAUUAUUAGGGCCCGAGCGUAGCUGCUAAGCAGCUGCGAGAGCCCUGUUGUUCCUGAUGAGUUUUUCUUUCUUCUUUCUUUCUUUCUUUCUUUCUUUCUUUCUUUCUUUCUUUCUUUCUUUAGGGCCCGAGCGUAGCUGCUAAGCAGCUGCGAGAGCCCUAUUAUUCCUGAUGGAUUCUUCUUUCUUCUUCUUCUUCUUAUUAUUUUUCUGCCCCUUUGAACUGGAAAAUGGCCCACUUCCCACUGGUGAAAAGUCAUGAAAUUUGGCAGGACGACCGGGCCUGGUGAAAAAUUCGAUAUUCUGAAGUCGCCCAAAAAAUCAAAUGCAAAAUGGCUCCAUAGCGCCCCCUAAGGUGAAAAAUUCACAUGAUUGAGUGUCACGCCUGUACGCUUUGUCAAAAUGACACAAAAAUUGACACACAUAUGUAUCUCAAUAAGAUCUACAAAAAAGUCAGUGCGGCGUAUCUGUCAAAUGUACGGUUAAAGGGUUAUUUCGCAUUUUUUGCCGAUCCGCACACAUUGGAAUUUCGCUAACUCCUCCGAAGGCUUUCGUUCCACCGGCACCACAUUUGCUCAGGCCAAUCUACACCCCAUGGCCAUUAAAAGUUGUACAAAUCAUGACGCUGCACCCCACGGUUUAGGUUCUAGGGGGCGCCAAAGAUAACCCUAAAAUCCACAUUCUUAAAAGUCUUAUAACUUUUUAUUUUUGUCCUCACUGGCCUCCAAGUUUUCUAGGAUGAUGCAAUGUCCAGCCAUCAACACAUUUGUGAAGGAAUUUUUACUCCCCAAAAGAGCGCCCCCCCAUGGCAGGAGAAAAAAGUCCAUUUUUUCUUGUCUCCUAAGGUGAAAAUUCACACUAUUGACUGUCACGCCUUUACGCUUUGUCAUAUUGACACAAAAAUUGACACACACAUGUAUCUCAAUAAGAUCUACGAAAAAGUCAAAGCAGGCGUAUCUGUCAAAUGUACGGUGAAAGGGUUAUUCCGCAUUUUUUGCCGAUCCGCACACAUUGGAAUUUCGCUAACUCCUCCGAAGGCUUUCGUUCCAAAGGCACCACAUUUGCUCAGGCCAAUCUACACCCCAUGGCCAUUAAAAGUUAUUCAAAUCAUGACGCUGCACCCCACGGUUUAGGUUCUAGGGGGCGCCAAAGAUAACCCUAAAAUCCACAUAUUUAAAAGUCUUAUAACUUUUUAUUUUUGUCCUCACUGGCCUCCAAGUUUUCUAGGAUGAUGCAAUGUCCAGCCAUCAACACAUUUGUGAAGGAAUUUUUACUCGCCAAAAGAGCGCCCCCCCAUGGCAGGAGAAAAAAGUCCAUUUUUUCUUGUCUCCUAAGGCGAAAAUACACAUUGUUGAGUGUCACGCCUUACGCUUUGUCAAAUUGACACAAAAUUUGACACACAUGUGUAUCUCAAUAAGAUCUACAAAAAAGUCAAGUGCGGGCGUAUCUGUCAAAUGUACGGUUAAAGGGUUAUUUCGCAUUUUUUGCCGAUCCGCACACAUUGGAAUUUCGCUAACUCCUCCUAAAUCUUUUGUCCCAUCGGCUACCAAAUUUGCUCAGGUCAAUCUACACCCCAUGGCCAUUCAAAGUUGUACAAAUCAUGACGCUGCACCCCACAGUUUACGUUCUAGGGGGCGCCAAAGAUGACCCAAAUAUCCACAUUUUUAAAAGUCUUAUAACUUUUUAUUUUUGUCCUCACUGGCCUCCAAGUUUUCUAGGAUGAUGCAAUGUCCAGCCAUCAACACAUUUGUGAAGGAUUUUUUUCUCCCCAAAAGAGCGCCCCCCAUGGCAGGAGAAAAAGUCAAUUUUUUCCUGCCCAUCGCUCAAUGGCUCAAACGCAUCGCUCUCUCUGCAAAACCGAAAGGAGGAGCAACUUGCCAUUUGGAUAUAUACUAGCUGUGUUUGUGCCCUCACUCAUGGUCCAGACUUUUUUCAAAUAGGACAUGUAGUUUGUCUGCAGCGAGCGUUUUGAUAGAAACUGCGCCUCCCAUUCAUUAUAAUGGGAAAUGACCACAGACAAGUGCGCACACCAUCUUUGGACCUUGAGUGUGACGCGAUCGGGAGGGGAGGCGGUCGCGCUGGGGGCGGCGCGACGCGGCUCGGGCCCGACAGUGCCCCACCGGGGCCCUAGUCUUCUUCUUAUUAUUUUUCUGCCCCUUUGAACUGGAAAAUGGCCCACUUCCCACUGGUGAAAAGUCAUGAAAUUUGGCAGGACGACCGGGCCUGGUGAAAAAUUCGAUAUUCUGAAGUCGCCCAAAAAAUCAAAUGCAAAAUGGCUCCAUAGCGCCCCCUAAGGUGAAAAAUUCACAUGAUUGAGUGUCACGCCUGUACGCUUUGUCAAAAUGACACAAAAUUUGACACACACGUGUAUCUCAA